UUGGGCCACCUGUAGUGGGCUGCUGAGAAACAAGCUGAAUCAGAACUAGCCCUGUCCUUGAGGAACAAACAUGGGACUCUGCCACCAGUGACAUGCACAGGGUAUGAAUGGUGUCUUUGGAGUAUGGAAAACAUAAGUCCAGCUUACUCAGGACUGAACAGAGACGUUUCUUUCACAGGUAAGCUCAGAAGACUUGACUUCUGAGCUAUGUCUGUGAAUGGAAGUUCUUGAAUGGCACAUGGCCUGAAAUCACCAGGUCUCUUAUGAUCCCAAUGAUGAUAAUCAAGCCAGAAUUCCACACACUGAGAGAGAAGGACAGGAAAUCAUCCUUAAAUAUUUGCUCUGCCUGGUUACACAAUGGAAGGAUAGAUACCACCUGGCUUAGAGGCACCUGUGAGCCUGGAGCUUCCUGAGGAGGGGCAGGAAGAUCUUGAAGCUGAGUCACCGACCUGAGGCUGGGCGUGGCUGCAGAUCUGGGACUUCUUAUCAGUCUGUAGGGGUGACUGUCUGGCUGCCUGGAGUCCCCAAAGGGGCUAUUCUUGAAGAAGAAUCCUUCCCAUUGAGUCAUGUAACUUUCUUACAACUUAUC